rnacentral:rRNA from 1 species
AGAGUUUGAUCCUGGCUCAGGACGAACGCUGGCGGCGUGCUUAACACAUGCAAGUCGAACGAAAAGAGGGAAAGAGCUUGCUCUUUCCGGAAUUGAGUGGCAAACGGGUGAGUAACACGUAAACAACCUGCCUUCAGGAUGGGGACAACAGACGGAAACGACUGCUAAUACCGAAUAAGUUCCAAGGGCCGCAUGGCCCAUGGAAGAAAAGGUGGCCUCUACCUGUAAGCUAUCGCCUGAAGAGGGGUUUGCGUCUGAUUAGCUGGUUGGAGGGGUAACGGCCCACCAAGGCGACGAUCAGUAGCCGGUCUGAGAGGAUGAACGGCCACACUGGAACUGAGACACGGUCCAGACUCCUACGGGAGGCAGCAGUGGGGAAUCUUCCGCAAUGGGCGAAAGCCUGACGGAGCAACGCCGCGUGAGUGAUGACGGCCUUCGGGUUGUAAAACUCUGUGAUCCGGGACGAAAAGGCAGAGUGCGAAGAACAAACUGCAUUGACGGUACCGGAAAAGCAAGCCACGGCUAACUACGUGCCAGCAGCCGCGGUAAUACGUAGGUGGCAAGCGUUGUCCGGAAUUAUUGGGCGUAAAGCGCGCGCAGGCGGCUUCCCAAGUCCCUCUUAAAAGUGCGGGGCUUAACCCCGUGAUGGGAAGGAAACUGGGAAGCUGGAGUAUCGGAGAGGAAAGUGGAAUUCCUAGUGUAGCGGUGAAAUGCGUAGAGAUUAGGAAGAACACCGGUGGCGAAGGCGACUUUCUGGACGAAAACUGACGCUGAGGCGCGAAAGCGUGGGGAGCAAACAGGAUUAGAUACCCUGGUAGUCCACGC